GAAGAAACAUCAGUUUGGCGGGCCAAAUUGAACGUCGCAACUAAAUAUUUAUAACAGUUAGAAUAACAUUGAAGAUGAGGUUCCGAGCAAAAAUGAAUGAUGUUCGUUGCCUUAAUAAUUUCACACACACUGUCCACCAAAGGAUCAUUAAUUUGAUUCUGCAGCACAAAGACGUGUCCCUGCAAUGCUUCAUCCCAGCGAUGGAGUUUGUUUUUCUUCUGGAUCCUGCUGGAAAGCUACUGGGUAGGGUAAAGGUCAGUGGUGAAACGUCACAACUCUGCAACUUGAGUAGGAUAACAACAUUUUCUCAGAGGUCCUCACUUGAAGGGUCGUUCAAGUGAAAUGAUCCGCUGGGAACAGUCCUUGCUAUCUGGGAUUCUUGGGACAUCCCUACACCAUUGAAGUAGAAAUUGAAAAUGGUUAAGUACGGGUUAUGAUUAAGGUUAGGUUUAGGGUUGGAGUUGGGACAUCCCAGUGAACUACGAGCUUCCGAUAACACGUGAACGUGGAAUUUAGACCUGGAACAAAGUUAGUAUAUUCUUUAUAGUUUACUCUUUUAUUUAAUAUGGUUAUAAACUUCUAUGUACGUUGCUACUCUAUUGCUGUUUUGCUGCAGGAUACAUAGUUUAAUAAUUCCACUCAAGAUGUAGCUAGCUUCAUGCCCUGCCUUUGUACACACAGUACGUUGUUUUCAUUUGACAAUAACUUUUCUCCAGAUAUAGGC
ensembl:lncRNA